GAGGGUAUAGCUCGGUGGUAGAGCGCGUGCUUAGCAUGCACGAGGUCCUGGGUUCAAUCCCCAGUACCCCCA
rnacentral:tRNA from 1 species